rnacentral:tRNA from 1 species
GGGCAAAUUCCAGAGUGGCCAAAUGGGACUGACUGUAACUCAGUUGUCUUUCGACUUCGGAGGUUCGAAUCCUUCUUUGCCCA